GACGAACGCUGGCGGCGUGCCUAAUACAUGCAAGUAGAACGCUGAAACUUGGUGCUUGCACCGAGCGGAUGAGUUGCGAACGGGUGAGUAACGCGUAGGUAACCUGCCUGGUAGCGGGGGAUAACUAUUGGAAACGAUAGCUAAUACCGCAUAAGAGUAGAUGUUGCAUGACAUUUGCUUAAAAGGUGCAAUUGCACCACUACCAGAUGGACCUGCGUUGUAUUAGCUAGUUGGUGGGGUAACGGCUCACCAAGGCGACGAUACAUAGCCGACCUGAGAGGGUGAUCGGCCACACUGGGACUGAGACACGGCCCAGACUCCUACGGGAGGCAGCAGUAGGGAAUCUUCGGCAAUGGACGGAAGUCUGACCGAGCAACGCCGCGUGAGUGAAGAAGGUUUUCGGAUCGUAAAGCUCUGUUGUAAGAGAAGAACGAGCGUGAGAGUGGAAAGUUCACACUGUGACGGUAUCUUACCAGAAAGGGACGGCUAACUACGUG
rnacentral:rRNA from 1 species